UCCAGCCCAAUAUAGAGAGUCAGCGAAGUCGACAUUCCUUCUGGGGUUUCUUGCCUCCUGCAAAAUCCGGGGAAGCUUAACCGUUAAUAGAGCUUCUGAAAUUCUUAGAGAGACGUCCCUUGGUCUGUAAAUCGGCGCGUCUGUGACUGUUCCCGUCGUUUCGUUGUUGCUUCUUCUCCUCACAUGCGUUACAAGCCGCAUUGAUUCGUCAUUAAGGAGAUCUUAACUCUUGCGACCCACAGCAACCACAAUCACUCAAUCAAUGAGUCUUAUCCCUCUUCCAAUAGGUGGAUCUCCACCUAUAAAAAGGAAAAUCGCCGGCCAGCUAACUCGAAUAUGCUUUUAAAGAGAACAUUUCUCACUCCUCCACCUUCUAAGAGCAUAACAGCCUCUCCGGGUCGGCUUUUAUCCAUAAGAGGAAGCAUAUCAGCGAGUCCAGAAGAGAAGGAAAACACAUGGGUGAUGGGUAUUACGCGUAAGAGCUACACCACGUUGAAGAUCUGAAGAAAAUUUAUAUAGACGCAGUUUCAGCCAUUAAUGGCGGCGGAAGGAAAUCACUUGGUGGCUGAGGAGGGACCAGGACAUCACUUGGCGGUGGUAGUGGUCGGCGUUGGUUUUUGUAAUGGGUGCCUGCACCUCAUGUCAUGUCUCCAAUGACACCGAGCGGUUUCAGUUUAUCAACAUCAUAAGAAAAAGUCGUGUUGGUGCUCAUAUCACACGUGUCAUUGAACUCUUAUUUGAGACAAGGCAAACCUUUACACCAGAUCAAAUAAACUAAAACUGUUAUGUUAUUAUGCUUGCCAACAAGACUGUUCUUGAUAGUUUGAGGAACAAUGCCAUAAGUGUACUAUGAUGAGAGGAGGUUCUCUUACAAGAUAAGAAGUAGCUUCUCGGACUGGUUAUGUAAUAUCCUGCUGGGAUUGCGGCAGUUGAUCUAAAAGAUGCUUACCUGAAUGUCAUGGAGGAUUUACAUGUUUGCUUUUUCUUAUACAAUUGGUCGGGACAAAGAUAAGUGUUUGAUCACCUUAAAUCCAGUUGGUUUUGGCUGGAAAGGAACUUAUCUCAAGUUGUGUAUUUAUAUUGAUAUAUAUAGUUUGGUUCUUGAUUGUGUUUGUAUUAUGUGGGCUCUGAAAGCUUCGAAACGCUGAUUCACAAGAUGAUAUUGUGUACCCUACGUCCCUGACGACUUCAACCUCAGGUCGAGGUUAAUGACGAGUUCCAAUCUCUGCUCGGAGACAUAGACACCCCCAGGGACCUGCUUGACGUGGAGAAGGAGCUGCUUAAGAUUAUUUGUGUGACCAAUCCUUUGUGAACGUUUAGAGUUUUAAUCGGUGAUGUUGUGUGUUGAAAACAGGAUGAUAAAUCAGGAACCAUUACUGAAGUACUGGCUGAAGAUGGAAAACUAGCCAGCGUUGAUACGGGACAUCGUUACAAAAACUUGGAUCAAGAGAGAAACAGUAAAAGAAGUAAGAAACGUUUGUGAAGCAGAAGCUAGAAGAUAAGAUGAGGCUAAUGAUAAAUCACAAUUGGAACAGAUCAAACCACAGUGACAGGAAGGUUAUAGGUGAGUGACGACUUGAUGGUAGGUCCACAGUAGCCAAAGUCAGCCUGUUAGAAGCAGCUUCUUGAUCUAGACCAAGAAGGCGACACCUGAUUUGGAUUGAACUUCCUUGACAAGAACAUGUGCCGGUUUUAGAACAGAGGAAUGAAGAUGUGCAUUCCUCUCCCUCCAUAGAAAAUAUUAACUCCCUCAAAAAUGAGCUUCAGAAUGGGUUUACUCCCUGCAGCGUAACAAGUAACAACCACUGCAAGCCACGAGAUCACAUCAUCAAGAGUUGAGGAUGAACUGAAAUAGUUCCUGAUAAAGAAAGUUUGCAGCCUCUCUUUACCAUCAUGUAAUAAACUCAGUCAGGUUGGUUUGGUUUCAAUUUCCCAUGUUUUCUUCUGAACUGUCACUUUCUUUUGGGAAUCAUGUAAUAUAUCAGUAUGCAUUAAGAAAAUAAUUUACUUUGUAGUA